rnacentral:rRNA from 1 species
GCUGGCGGCGUGCCUAACACAUGCAAGUCGAACGCCCUUAGCAAUAAGGGAGUGGCGGACGGGUGAGGAACCCGUGGGUAUCUACCCCAUAGUGAGGAAUACCGGCGAGAAAUCGCCGACAAUACCGCAUACGCUCGCUCUUUCGGGAGCAAGCAAAGCCUUUCGGGGCGCUAUGGGAUGAGCCUGCGACUGAUUAGCUAGUUGGGGGGGUAAUGGCCUCCCAAGGCGACGAUCAGUAGCUGGUCUGAGAGGACGAUCAGCCACACUGGGAUUGAGAACGGCCCAGACUCCUACGGGGGGCAGCAGUGAGGAAUUUUCGGCAAUGGGGGCAACCCUGACCGAGCAACGCCGCGUGCAGGAUGACGGCCUUCGGGUUGUAAACUGCUUUUCUCUGGGACGAGAACGGACGGUACCAGAGGAAUCAGCCUCGGCUAACUACGUGCCAGCAGCCGCGGUAAUACGUAGGAGGCAAGCGUUGUCCGGAGUUACUGGGCGUAAAGGGCCUGUAGGCGGUGCGUUACGUUUGGAGUGACAGUGCUCGGCUUAACCGAGCAAGGCCUUCGAACACGGACGCACUUGAGGGCUUCAGAGGGAGGCGGAAUUCCGGGUGGAGCGGUGAAAUGCGUAGAGAUCCGGAGGAACACCAACGGCGAAGGCAGCCUCCUGGGAAGUACCUGACGCUGAGGGGCGAAAGCUAGGGGAGCGAACAGGAUUAGAUACCCUGGUAGUCCUAGCGGUAAACGAUGACCACUAGACGCAGGAGGAUCGACCCCUUCUGUGUCGCAGCUAACGCGAUAAGUGGUCCGCCUGGGGAGUACGGUCGCAAGAUUAAAACUCAAAGGAAUUGACGGGGACCCGCACAAGCAGCGGAGCGUGUGGUUUAAUUCGAAGCAACGCGAAGCACCUUACCAGACCUUGACAUGUGAUUGCACCACCCGUAAUGGGGUGUCCCUUCGGGGCGGUCACACAGGUGCUGCAUGGCUGUCGUCAGCUCGUGUCGUGAGAUGUUGGGUUAAGUCCCGCAACGAGCGCAACCCCCAUGGUUGGUUGUACUUUUCCAGCCAGACUGCCGCGAACAACGCGGAGGAAGGUGGGGAUGACGUCAAGUCAGCACGGCCCUGACGGUCUGGGCGACACACACGCUACAAUGGGCACGACAAAGGGUCGCCAACCCGCGAGGGGGAGCUAAUCCCACAAACGUGCUCUCAGUUCAGAUUGGAGGCUGCAACCCGCCUCCAUGAAGUUGGAGUUGCUAGUAACCGUGAGUCAGCACAUCACGGUGAAUACGUUCCCGGGUCUUGUACACACCGCCCGUCACACCACGAAAGUCGGCAACACCUGAAGCCGCUGGGCUAACCCGCUCGUCGGGAGGCAGGCGUCGAGGGUGGGGUCGGUGAU